rnacentral:rRNA from 1 species
ACUCAAAUGAAUUGACGGGAGAGCGCACAACCAGUGGAGCAUGUGGUUUAAUUCGAUACGAACCGAAGACCUUACCCAGACUUGACAUCCAACUGCAAAUCUUGAGAAAUCAAGACUCUUUUGAAGGUGUUGGACAGGUGUUGCAUGGCUGUCGUCAGCUCGUGCCGUAGGGUGUCCUCUUAAGUGAGGUAACGAGCGCAACCCCUGCUAUAUGUUGAAUAUUCAUAUGGAACUGCCCCGUUUUAUGCGGGGAGGAAGGAGGGGACGACGUCAAGUCCGCAUGGCCCUUAUGUCUGGGGCUACACACAUGCUACAAUGACACUUAACAAUGGGUUGCCAAGCCGCGAGGCGGAGCUAAUCCCAUCAAACAGUGUCUCAGUGGGGAUUGCAGUCUGAAACCCGACUGCAUGAACGCGGAAUUGGUAGUAAUCGCGGGUCAGCUAUACCGCGGUGAAUACGUUCUCGCUCUUUGCACACACCGCCCGU